UACGGAGGGGGCUAGCGUUGCUCGGAAUCACUGGGCGUAAAGGGUGCGUAGGCGGGCCUUUAAGUCAGGGGGGAAAUCCUGGAGCUCAACUCCAGAACUGCCUUUGAUACUGAGGAUCUUGAGUUCGGGAGAGGUGAGUGGAACUGCGAGUGUAGAGGUGAAAUUCGUAGAUAUUCGCAAGAACACCAGUGGCGAAGGCGGCUCACUGGCCCGAUACUGACGCUGAGGCACGAAAGCGUGGGGAGCAAACAGG
rnacentral:rRNA from 1 species